rnacentral:rRNA from 1 species
ACGCUGGCGGCGUGCUUACACAUGCAAGUCGUACGAGAACUCUUUAGCUUGCUAAAGAUAGUAAAGUGGCGCACGGGUGAGUAACGCGUGGGUAAUCUACCCCUGAAUCCGGGAUAACAUUGCGAAAGCGAUGCUAAUACCGGAUAAUAUCUGAAUUAGUACUCUUUUUCAGAUCAAAGGUGGCCUCUAUAAAUAAGCUACUGUUUGGGGAUGAGCCCGCGUACCAUUAGCUAGUUGGUAGGGUAAUGGCCUACCAAGGCUACGAUGGUUAGCUGGUCUGAGAGGAUGAUCAGCCACACUGGAACUGACACACGGUCCAGACUCCUACGGGAGGCAGCAGUGAGGAAUUUUGCGCAAUGGGGGAAACCCUGACGCAGCAACGCCGCGUGAGUGAUGAAGGCUUUCGGGUCGUAAAGCUCUGUCGAGUGGGAAGAACAAAAAAGGUUGUAAUACGCCUUUUUCUGACGGUACCACUAAAGGAAGCACCGGCUAACUCCGUGCCAGCAGCCGCGGUAAUACG